GAGGCCCUAAAUCAAGGCUGACAGCUUGUUGUAGCUGUGGGUUUCAAACAGGAGCCCAAAGAACUCUCUUCCUAUGGUCUGUUGGCUGUGCCAUUUCGCUUAAGGGCCCAACCAAUUCAGUUGGAAGGAACAAUU